UGCUGGAGGUAUCAGAAGUGCGAAUGCUGACAUAAGUAACGAUAAAGCGGGUGAAAAGCCCGCUCGCCGGAAGACCAAGGGUUCCUGUCCAACGUUAAUCGGGGCAGGGUGAGUCGACCCCUAAGGCGAGGCCGAAAGGCGUAGUCGAUGGGAAACGGGUUAAUAUUCCCGUACUUGGUGUUACUGCGAAGGGGGGACGGAGAAGGCUAUGUUGGCCGGGCGACGGUUGUCCCGGUUUAAGCGUGUAGGUGUGUGUUCCAGGUAAAUCCGGUUCACUUUAACACUGAGGCGUGACGACGAGGCACUACGGUGCUGAAGCAACAAAUGCCCUGCUUCCAGGAAAAGCCUCUAAGCAUCAGGUAACACGAAAUCGUACCCCAAACCGACACAGGUGGUCAGGUAGAGAAUACCAAGGCGCUUGAGAGAACUCGGGUGAAGGAACUAGGCAAAAUGGUGCCGUAACUUCGGGAGAAGGCACGCUGACACGUAGGUGAAGUGAUUUACUCAUGGAGCUGAAGUCAGUCGAAGAUACCAGCUGGCUGCAACUGUUUAUUAAAAACACAGCACUGUGCAAACACGAAAGUGGACGUAUACGGUGUGACGCCUGCCCGGUGCCGGAAGGUUAAUUGAUGGGGUCAGCGCAAGCGAAGCUCCUGAUCGAAGCCCCGGUAAACGGCGGCCGUAACUAUAACGGUCCUAAGGUAGCGAAAUUCCUUGUCGGGUAAGUUCCGACCUGCACGAAUGGCGUAAUGAUGGCCAGGCUGUCUCCACCCGAGACUCAGUGAAAUUGAACUCGCUGUGAAGAUGCAGUGUACCCGCGGCAAGACGGAAAGACCCCGUGAACCUUUACUAUAGCUUGACACUGAACAUUGAGCCUUGAUGUGUAGGAUAGGUGGGAGGCUUUGAAGUGUGGACGCCAGUCUGCAUGGAGCCGACCUUGAAAUACCACCCUUUAAUGUUUGAUGUUCUAACGUGGACCCGUAAUCCGGGUUGCGGACAGUGUCUGGUGGGUAGUUUGACUGGGGCGGUCUCCUCCUAAAGAGUAACGGAGGAGCACGAAGGUUGGCUAAUCCUGGUCGGACAUCAGGAGGUUAGUGCAAUGGCAUAAGCCAGCUUGACUGCGAGCGUGACGGCGCGAGCAGGUGCGAAAGCAGGUCAUAGUGAUCCGGUGGUUCUGAAUGGAAGGGCCAUCGCUCAACGGAUAAAAGGUACUCCGGGGAUAACAGGCUGAUACCGCCCAAGAGUUCAUAUCGACGGCGGUGUUUGGCACCUCGAUGUCGGCUCAUCACAUCCUGGGGCUGAAGUAGGUCCCAAGGGUAUGGCUGUUCGCCAUUUAAAGUGGUACGCGAGCUGGGUUUAGAACGUCGUGAGACAGUUCGGUCCCUAUCUGCCGUGGGCGCUGGAGAACUGAGGGGGGCUGCUCCUAGUACGAGAGGACCGGAGUGGACGCAUCACUGGUGUUCGGGUUGUCAUGCCAAUGGCACUGCCCGGUAGCUAAAUGCGGAAGAGAUAAGUGCUGAAAGCAUCUAAGCACGAAACUUGCCCCGAGAUGAGUUCUCCCUGAGACUUAGAGUCUCCUGAAGGAACGUUGAAGACGACGACGUUGAUAGGCCGGGUGUGUAAGCGCAGCGAUGCGUUGAGCUAACCGGUACUAAUGAACCG
rnacentral:rRNA from 1 species